rnacentral:rRNA from 1 species
GACGAACGCUGGCGGCGUGCUUAACACAUGCAAGUCGAACGGAAAGGCCCUGCUUUUGUGGGGUGCUCGAGUGGCGAACGGGUGAGUAACACGUGAGUAACCUGCCCUUGACUUUGGGAUAACUUCAGGAAACUGGGGCUAAUACCGGAUAGGAGCUCCUGCUGCAUGGUGGGGGUUGGAAAGUUUCGGCGGUUGGGGAUGGACUCGCGGCUUAUCAGCUUGUUGGUGGGGUAGUGGCUUACCAAGGCUUUGACGGGUAGCCGGCCUGAGAGGGUGACCGGCCACAUUGGGACUGAGAUACGGCGCAGACUCCUACGGGAGGCAGCAGGGGGGAAUAUUGCACAAUGGGCGGAAGCCUGAUGCAGCAACGCCGCGUGCGGGAUGACGGCCUUCGGGUUGUAAACCGCUUUCGCCUGUGACGAAGCGUGAGUGACGGUAAUGGGUAAAGAAGCACCGGCUAACUACGUG